UACGGGGGGGGCAAGCGUUGUUCGGAAUUACUGGGCGUAAAGGGCGCGUAGGCGGGUGGACAAGUCUCUCGUGAAAGCCCACGGCUCAACCGUGGAAUUGCGGGAGAUACUGUCUGUCUUGAGUCCGGGAGAGGAGGGUGGAAUUCCCAGUGUAGCGGUGAAAUGCGUAGAUAUUGGGAGGAACACCGGUGGCGAAGGCGGCUCUCUGGACCGGUACUGACGCUGAGGCGCGAAAGCUAGGGGAGCAAACGGG
rnacentral:rRNA from 1 species